rnacentral:lncRNA from 1 species
GUGAAAGUGACGGUACUUGCUCUUAUUUUUUCUAUCUAGAGGGGACUUUAUUGGCUGGGAAUGCCAUAAAUAUCUCUGAUUUUCGAUCUCUAUCAAGAUCUAAGAUCGUGGAAUGGAUAGAGGGGCAUAGCUGUCGGACCAAUGAGAUGGGCCCUUGGAUCUGUAGCUCUUUGGUGGUUAGAAAGACUUCCUUAUGACUCGUGGCACUCAAAGAUCUUCCCAACCCUUCUUCUUACCAGAGGUCUUUUUUUUUCUUCCUUCUUGCACACUAUUCAAACUUCCUCUGAUUGGAUGUACUUCUAGACUUGGACUGGCAGGUCAGCGUAGUCCCUUGGAAAAUUCUUAUUGAGGGAGAAGAUGA